GAUGUUAGGUUUGGCUGCAAGGUCUGUUUGGUAUUAGGCCCAGACUAUCAGCGCCUCUUCAUCAACUGGAUAGGAGUAGCGAUAGUUGUUGCUUAGGCGGUGUCUUCUUGGGAGGGGAACAACAACUGGAAAUGGUUGCUAAUACCCCGUAGGCUGAGGAGCAAAAGGAGAAAUCCGCCCAAGGAGGGGCUCGCGUCUGAUUAGCUAGUUGGUAAGGUAAUAGCGUACCAAGGCGAUGAUCAGUAGCUGGUCCGAGAGGAUGAUCAGCCAUACUGGGAGUGAGACACGGCCCAGACUCCUACGGGAGGCAGCAGUGGGGAAUUUUCCGCAAUGGGCGAAAGCCUAAUGGAGCAAUGCCGUGUGGAGGUGGAAGGCCUACGGGUCGUCAACUUCUUUUCUCGGAGAAGAAACAAUGACGGUGUUGCUUAGGCGGUGGCUUUGGUCUUACUGUUGUACGCCUUUGUAACGUCUUGUGUUAAUAAUUAAUAAUAUGGCCGUAUGCAUCGUCCAGAUGCAGAGGCCGGG
rfam:Triticum aestivum genome assembly, contig: Triticum_aestivum_CS42_TGACv1_scaffold_050444_1BS